CGAACGCUGGCGGCGUGCUUAACACAUGCAAGUCGAACGGAAAGGCCCUGCUUUUGUGGGGUGCUCGAGUGGCGAACGGGUGAGUAACACGUGAGUAACCUGCCCUUGACUUUGGGAUAACUUCAGGAAACUGGGGCUAAUACCGGAUAGGAGCUCCUGCUGCAUGGUGGGGGUUGGAAAGUUUCGGCGGUUGGGGAUGGACUCGCGGCUUAUCAGCUUGUUGGUGGGGUAGUGGCUUACCAAGGCUUUGACGGGUAGCCGGCCUGAGAGGGUGACCGGCCACAUUGGGACUGAGAUACGGCCCAGACUCCUACGGGAGGCAGCAGUGGGGAAUAUUGCACAAUGGGCGGAAGCCUGAUGCAGCAACGCCGCGUGCGGGAUGACGGCCUUCGGGUUGUAAACCGCUUUCGCCUGUGACGAAGCGUGAGUGACGGUAAUGGGUAAAGAAGCACCGGCUAACUACGUGCCAGCAGCCGCGGUGAUACGUAGGGUGCGAGCGUUGUCCGGAUUUAUUGGGCGUAAGGGGCUCGUAGGUGGUUGAUCGCGUCGGAAGUGUAAUCUUGGGGCUUAACCCUGAGCGUGCUUUCGAUACGGGUUGACUUGAGGAAGGUAGGGGAGAAUGGAAUUCCUGGUGGAGCGGUGGAAUGCGCAGAUAUCAGGAGGAACACCAGUGGCGAAGGCGGUUCUCUGGGCCUUUCCUGACGCUGAGGAGCGAAAGCGUGGGGAGCGAACAGGCUUAGAUACCCUGGUAGUCCACGCUGUAAACGGUGGGUACUAGGUGUGGGGUCCAUUCCACGGGUUCCGUGCCGUAGCUAACGCUUUAAGUACCCCGCCUGGGGAGUACGGCCGCAAGGCUAAAACUCAAAGGAAUUGACGGGGCCCCGCACAAGCGGCGGAGCAUGCGGAUUAAUUCGAUGCAACGCGUAGAACCUUACCUGGGUUUGACAUGGAUCGGGAGUGCUCAGAGAUGGGUGUGCCUCUUUUGGGGUCGGUUCACAGGUGGUGCAUGGCUGUCGUCAGCUCGUGUCGUGAGAUGUUGGGUUAAGUCCCGCAACGAGCGCAACCCUUGUUCACUGUUGCCAGCACGUUAUGGUGGGGACUCAGUGGAGACCGCCGGGGUCAACUCGGAGGAAGGUGGGGAUGACGUCAAGUCAUCAUGCCCCUUAUGUCCAGGGCUUCACGCAUGCUACAAUGGCUGGUACAGAGAGUGGCGAGCCUGUGAGGGUGAGCGAAUCUCGGAAAGCCGGUCUCAGUUCGGAUUGGGGUCUGCAACUCGACCUCAUGAAGUCGGAGUCGCUAGUAAUCGCAGAUCAGCAACGCUGCGGUGAAUACGUUCCCGGGGCUUGUACACACCGCCCGUCAAGUCAUGAAAGUUGGUAACACCCGAAGCCGGUGGCCUAACCGUUGUGGGGGAGCCGUCGAAGGUGGGACUGGUGAUUAGGAC
rnacentral:rRNA from 1 species